rnacentral:lncRNA from 1 species
CCCAGGCUCUGUCUGCACAGGGGCCUGCCAGUGGUGGGCUCAGCCAGAGACCCUCAUCCUGAGCGGGAAGGGCCUGGUCCUGGGCGUGACCUGAGGUCUCACGGCUGCUUUUCUCUCCUGCUUCAGACACCAACACCAUGAUGUACCAGGAAACUGAAACUGAAACUCAAGGCCCUAGUCCGGGACCCUCCUCUCUACUGAGUCAGAACCUCUCCUAAGGCGUCCUCCUACCCCAGGGGACAACCUCGCCCUCCUCUCCUCACCGCAGCCCCUCCUCUCCUCACCGCAGCCCCUCCUCCCCUCACCGCAGCCCCUCCUCCCUCCGGGUCUGUUCUGCUCACACCCUGAGCUCUGGGAGGCCCCAGGCAGAGAAGGGGUGGGGUGAGAGGGGUCUUGCUCAAGGUCAUGUCUGCCUUCCAGAGCAGCCAGGUCAGGAAGGAAGGGUUUCUACCCCUCAGUUCCCAUUCUGUGGGAUGAUGGGAUGAGGCCAUCAGCUGUGUGCACUUUACACAAACAAUCCGGGCUCCUCAUCACAAACCAGAAGUGGGGCAGAGGUUCCCAGGCUUGGGGGUGCAAGGCCUCCCCUAGCUCUUUCCAGGCUCAGAGCCUCUGUGCCACACGUGCCCUCAAUGCACCCAUACCCAAGACCAUGAAGGUCACUGGCCCCAUGCUGCUGCUGGCUGAGGGUGGGGGAUGGGAAGGAGGCCUGAAGGUGGGAGUAAGACCCUCUCGAUGCUGGGGGCUCCAGAUCCUGCCCACAAUUCUGAGUAGCCAAGGGCACCUGAGCCUACCUGUGUGCUGCCCAGGCCUGCUGCCGGUGCUGGUGAGAGGGACUGGAACCCACCCUUCAGCCUGCGACCCUGACCUGCACCCUCCCCGCCCCAUCCCAGGCCAGGGCCUUGAGUGCUUCCAGUGCUACGGUGUCCUGGACCCCAGCCUGUGCCACCCCGUCUCCUAUCCCAUGCAGGCUCAAAGCUGCCCCUCCUCUGUGGUCACUGGCACUAUCGAUGGGCAGAAGUUCAGCUACACUAGCAAGGGCUGUGGCCCCACUCUGUGCCCAGAUUACUGUGGUCCCUGGAGGGUCUUACCCCACAGAAAUUGAGGAUAGACUGAUUGACUUGAAGACUGAGAAGCUGGACAUGACCUGCUGUGAAAAUAGCCUCCGUAACAAGGCGGCCACAGUGCGGCGUGGCCUCUGGUGCCAGACUGUCGGGGAGCUCCUGCUCAGCCUGGGCCCCUUCCUCUGGGCUCUGCUGUGAGCCCAGCCCGCCCUGGCACUGCCCCUGGUGGGUAAACAGGGGCUCAGGGUGGUUGCCCAGUGCAGCCCUCAGCUCCUGCCCCGAUGCCCCCGCCUGGCCGCCCAGCAGCCCAGAGACCCCCUCACCCAGCAUCCUAGCUGCCUGCUGGC